rnacentral:sRNA from 1 species
CCACUUCCAUUUGCUGCGGACAAAUAAAGUGAAUGUGGGUAUCAACCCCGCCAGCGGUUAAGAUUUUUCCUUCACCUGAAAUGACUUCUGUUCCUGCUCCGAUAACGAGGUUAGGGUCAACAUUAUCCAUAAUAUCCGGGUUGCCGCUUUUUCCUACACCGACUACUCGUCCAUUUUUCACUCCCACAUCAGCUUUAAUGAUACCUGUGUAAUCAACGACGAUGACGUUCGUAAUGACUAAAUCAAGGGCGCCAUCUUUAGCUGUUAAUCUGCCGUUUUGACCCAUCCCAUCUCGAAUAG